rnacentral:lncRNA from 1 species
GCACUAUGUCCGGCUAAUUUUUUUGUAGUUUUAGCAGAGACGGAGUUUCACCGUACUAGCCGGGCUGAUCUCGAAUUCCUGACCUCGGAUGAUUCACCUGCCUCGGCCUCUCAAAGUGCUAGGAUUUCAGGAUUUCAGUUGAUAACAGAUGUGUGGACCAUGUUCAGAAAAGACAACUAACUCUACCCAGAAGGCUUCACAGAGAAGUUGCAUUUCAGUUGGAUCCUGAAAGGUGAAUAGAAGGUCACCAAAAGAAGGGAAGAUAAAUUAAGUAUUUGUUUGUUGUUUAUCUUUGUUACUAGACUGACUAUAAGUUCCGUGUGGGUAGGGACUGGAUCUUGCUCAAUGUUGCAUUUUUGGUGGUCAGUGCUUGAAAACACCUCAAGUGUUCUAAACUAUCUGUUGACUAACCAACUGAACAGUAUUUCAGGCAAAGAGAACCAUAGGCACAAUAACAAAAUAAAUAACAGAAUGAUUUUUCUAGGCUAUGGCUUGUAAUAUUAACACUGUUCACUCCUGGAGAGGAAGAGUAUAUCAUAAGACAGCUAAAAAGGGCAGGUAUUAUAGAAGGAACCAGAAGAUUUGCAUUCUAGUCCCAUCCCUGUUAUUAACUAACUACAUGACUUUGAAUAAAUGCUUAGCUUAUACCACCUGUAGUUUUCUCACUUGUAAAAUAGCUUUGGAAGAGUAUAUUCUUG